rnacentral:lncRNA from 1 species
AAAAAAAAGCAAGCUAAUGUCCUCAUAAAUUAAAAAGUUAUAUUUAUUUAUUAUUAUUAAAUUAAAAAGUUACCGUGCCUCAUUAGCACAGCUCCUUUAACUCAAUUCCAUGUUCUUCCAAUCAUAGCACUAGCAUUAAUUUAAUGUGAACAAUAUUUUAACACCUAAUAAUAAUGUAAUGCAACAAAUAUACCCUAAAAGUACAUCACAUAGGAGUUGUCAUGAGAUGUGAGUCAAUAGUGACGAUUUUGAAUAAUUUUCAAAUCACCAUUUUACCCUCUAUUAUGUGAGCUAUUUGUCAAUUUAUUGCAUAUGCUUGAUAGUACCAAUGAUUCUAUGAAUUGUAAUUAAAAAAAAAAAAAAUUCCUAUGACACACCAAUUCCAAGUAUGCCAUUUGGUGAUGAUUGGAUUAGACAUUAAUAUAUGAAAUCUACAAUCAUAUUAGAAAAACAAUCUAUGAAAGGAUUUUGCUAUGUUACAUUAAAUAUACCAUACACAAUUCAUAAUAACCACAUAAAUUGUGGGAUGAAAACUUUUACCUUCCCAUUAUUACCACUAAAAUUGCUUUUUUAAAAUUGAGCCGACAAAAUUUUCCUGUUUCUUGGACAUUUCUAUUCCGGCCAGCAAUGUCAGCACUCUUUUUGGUAAUCGUACAAAAGUUUGCUAUAUAAUAUUGUCGGACGAUUAAAGAUAAGAGAAAUGCACAGGGAUGGUUGGACAAUCAUUAUGAAUUUGGAUACGAGAAAAUUUUUUAUUCAGCACGAGAUAACAGUGUGAACAAUUUUUUGCAAUAUUAUAAGCUAUUUGAUAAUGAUGUGAAAAUCCGUUCACACUAAAAUUUAGAACCCCAAACCUGAGAACGAUUAUUCAUCCAGGCAAUCGCAUGUGUUGUUUUCGUUUUCCUCCCCUCAACUAUACCGUAUUUCUACUUUAAUGUGUCGGAAUGAAGGGCUAGUUAGUGACUUCACAUUAAAGUCUUUGUAUAUUCAAACAAUUUCCAAAUAUUUUUACGUUGGGUUCGGAGAAUUGCAAGAAACAAGCUAAAUAGCAGUGAUUUCGCACUUGAGCAUCCUGUCGGAUGGCUAACUGUUGACCAGAGAGGGCCAUACCGAUACGUCCUCAAUUAUAUCUGGGAAUCCAGAAUGCCACUCCCUGCCAAAUAUCUGCAGUUAAGAAAUUGAGAUAUGAUUGGUGAUCCGUGAUCGAAUCGUGCAGAGGACCCGACAGUGUCCCCAAUAAUUUCUUAAAGAAAAA